GGUACAUAAAGUCAGACCGAAUCAAUAUUGUAAAUGAGAUUAAUAAACUCUUUGAUUAUGAUUAUUGGCUUGCUUAGUUGGGGACACUUAAUUUCUGGCAAUAUUGUUGACUUUAUUGCACAGACACUAUUUGAACUGAAUUGAGCUGGACGACGACAUCACUGAAUCAAUGAUGAACUGACACUGACUUUAUUUCAGUUUCAUGAGAUUGUAUCACUGUGGUGGACUUUCGGUGGAGGAACUAAACUGGUGCUCGCUGGUCCCACAGUGAAGCCCUCAGUGUCUCUGCUGCCGCCCUCUUCUCUGCAGAUCUCUGGAGACUCAGCCGCACUGCUCUGCCUGCUCAGCUCUUACUCUCCACAGGGGGCGCUGGUGAGCUGGACACUGGACG